CUACGGGAGGCUGCAGUGAGGAAUACUGCACAAUGGGGGGAACCCUGAUGCAGCAACGCCGCGUGGAGGAUGACGCAUUUCGGUGUGUAAACUCCUUUUAUAUGUCAAGAAAAUGACGGUAGCAUAUGAAUAAGCACCGGCUAACUCCGUGCCAGCAGCCGCGGUAAUAAGGAGGGUGCAAGCGUUACUCGGAAUCACUGGGCGUAAAGGACGCGUAGGCGGGUUGGAAAGUCAGGUGUGAAAUCCUACAGCUUAACUGUAGAACUGCACUUGAAACUUCUAAUCUAGAGUAUGGGAGGGGGAGAUGGAAUUAGUGGCGUAGGGGUAAAAUCCGUAGAUAUCACUAGGAAUACCUAAAGCGAAGGCGAUCUCCUGGAACAUUACUGACGCUAAGGCGUGAAAGCGUGGGGAGCAAACAGGAUUAGAUACCCUCGUAGUC
rnacentral:rRNA from 1 species